GCCCAGCCAGUGUAGUGGAUAUGACCCUCGGCUUGUAACCGAGUGGGUUCGGUUUCGAAUUCCGAGUUAGGCA
rnacentral:tRNA from 1 species